AAAAAAGUUUUUAACUAAUUAUGAGGGUAGAUUAGACAAAAUUGUGUGAUCAUGGAGAUACAUUAAUUUACGGGCAAUAAAAUUAAUUGGGUUUGGUUGGCAUGUGACCUUGGGAUGUGAAGCUAGUUAGGUAAUUACUACACUAAAUUAAAAUAUUAUAACAUCAAACCAAUCCAAUAAGAGGCGUAGGUAAGUAAGAAGAUGAAUUGACAUUGCACU
rnacentral:lncRNA from 1 species